CUGCUAUCAGAGUGGGACUAAGCCAUGCGAGUUAACGUAGCAAUACGUGGCACACGGCUCAGUAACACGUGGUCAACAUACCCAGAGGACGUGGAUAACCUCGGGAAACUGAGGAUAAACCGCGAUAGACCAUAAUGUCUGGAAUGAUUUAUGGUUCAAAUCUAUAUGGCCUCUGGAUUGGACUGCGGCCGAUCAGGCUGUUGGUGAGGUAAUGGCCCACCAAACCUGAAACCGGUACGGGCUCUGAGAGGAGAAGCCCGGAGAUGGGCACUGAGACAAGGGCCCAGGCCCUAUGGGGCGCAGCAGGCGCGAAACCUUUGCAAUAGGCGAAAGCCUGACAAGGUUACUCUGAGUGAUCUCCGCUAAGGAAAUCUUUUGACACCUCUAAAAAUGGUGUAGAAUAAGGGGUGGGCAAGCCUGGUGUCAGCCGCCGCGGUAAUACCAGCACCCCGAGUGGUCGGGACGAUUAUUGGGCCUAAAGCAUCCGUAGCCGGUUCUUUAAGUCCUCCGUUAAAUCCACCUGCUUAACAGAUGGGCUGCGGAGGAUACUAUAGAGCUAGGAGGCGGGAGAGGCAAGCGGUACUCAGUGGGUAGGGGUAAAAUCCGUUGAUCCAUUGAAGACCACCAGUGGCGAAGGCGGCUUGCCAGAACGCGCUCGACGGUGAGGGAUGAAAGCUGGGGGAGCAAACCGGAUUAGAUACCCGGGUAGUCCCAGCUGUAAACGAUGCAGACUCGGUGAUGAACAGGCUUCGUGCCUGUUCAGUGCCGCAGGGAAGCCGUUAAGUCUGCCGCCUGGGGAGUACGGUCGCAAGACU
rnacentral:rRNA from 1 species